rnacentral:rRNA from 1 species
GAUUCGUCACACUAUCAUUAACUGAAUCCAUAGGUUAAUGAGGCGAACCGGGGGAACUGAAACAUCUAAGUACCCCGAGGAAAAGAAAUCAACCGAGAUUCCCCCAGUAGCGGCGAGCGAACGGGGAGGAGCCCAGAGCCUGAAUCAGCAUGUGUGUUAGUGGAAGCGUCUGGAAAGGCGCGCGAUACAGGGUGACAGCCCCGUACACAAAAGCGCAUGUGCUGUGAGCUCGAUGAGUAGGGCGGGACACGUGGUAUCCUGUCUGAAUAUGGGGGGACCAUCCUCCAAGGCUAAAUACUCCUGACUGACCGAUAGUGAACCAGUACCGUGAGGGAAAGGCGAAAAGAACCCCGGCGAGGGGAGUGAAAAAGAACCUGAAACCGUGUACGUACAAGCAGUGGGAGCCCCACCACCAAAGCAUUCUCUGGUGUUGAAGGCCCUGCAAAGCAGCAUCGCGGUGGCGGAGCGUCGUUUGCGACGCCCAACACACAAAACAAGCGGUGAAUGCUUUGGGGUGGGGUGACUGCGUACCUUUUGUAUAAUGGGUCAGCGACUUAUAUUCUGUAGCAAGGUUAACCGUAUAGGGGAGCCGGAGGGAAACCGAGUCUUAAUUGGGCGUUAAGUUGCAGGGUAUAGACCCGAAACCCGGUGAUCUAGCCAUGGGCAGGUUGAAGGUUGGGUAACACUAACUGGAGGACCGAACCGACUAAUGUUGAAAAAUUAGCGGAUGACCUGUGGCUGGGGGUGAAAGGCCAAUCAAACCGGGAGAUAGCUGGUUCUCCCCGAAAGCUAUUUAGGUAGCGCCUCGUGAAUUCAUCUCCGGGGGUAGAGCACUGUUUCGGCUAGGGGGCCAUCCCGGCUUACCAACCCGAUGCAAACUGCGAAUACCGGAGAAUGUUAUCACGGGAGACACACGGCGGGUGCUAACGUCCGUCGUGAAGAGGGAAACAACCCAGACCGCCAGCUAAGGUCCCAAAGUCAUGGUUAAGUGGGAAACGAUGUGGGAAGGCCCAGACAGCCAGGAUGUUGGCUUAGAAGCAGCCAUCAUUUAAAGAAAGCGUAAUAGCUCACUGGUCGAGUCGGCCUGCGCGGAAGAUGUAACGGGGCUAAACCAUGCACCGAAGCUGCGGCAGCGAACGUAUCACCCAAGACAACUUUACGGAGUUGACGAUUGACGGAGCGAAGCGACGUCAAAGCGUUCAUUAAAGUCGAGUUGGCUUAGGGAUACGUUCGUUGGGUAGGGGAGCGUUCUGUAAGCCUGUGAAGGUGUGUCGUGAGGCAUGCUGGAGGUAUCAGAAGUGCGAAUGCUGACAUAAGUAACGAUAAAGCGGGUGAAAAGCCCGCUCGCCGGAAGACCAAGGGUUCCUGUCCAACGUUAAUCGGGGCAGGGUGAGUCGACCCCUAAGGCGAGGCCGAAAGGCGUAGUCGAUGGGAAACGGGUUAAUAUUCCCGUACUUGGUGUUACUGCGAAGGGGGGACGGAGAAGGCUAUGUUGGCCGGGCGACGGUUGUCCCGGUUUAAGCGUGUAGGUGUGUGUUCCAGGUAAAUCCGGUUCACUUUAACACUGAGGCGUGACGACGAGGCACUACGGUGCUGAAGCAACAAAUGCCCUGCUUCCAGGAAAAGCCUCUAAGCAUCAGGUAACAUCAAAUCGUACCCCAAACCGACACAGGUGGUCAGGUAGAGAAUACCAAGGCGCUUGAGAGAACUCGGGUGAAGGAACUAGGCAAAAUGGUGCCGUAACUUCGGGAGAAGGCACGCUGACACGUAGGUGAAGUGAUUUACUCAUGGAGCUGAAGUCAGUCGAAGAUACCAGCUGGCUGCAACUGUUUAUUAAAAACACAGCACUGUGCAAACACGAAAGUGGACGUAUACGGUGUGACGCCUGCCCGGUGCCGGAAGGUUAAUUGAUGGGGUCAGCGCAAGCGAAGCUCCUGAUCGAAGCCCCGGUAAACGGCGGCCGUAACUAUAACGGUCCUAAGGUAGCGAAAUUCCUUGUCGGGUAAGUUCCGACCUGCACGAAUGGCGUAAUGAUGGCCAGGCUGUCUCCACCCGAGACUCAGUGAAAUUGAACUCGCUGUGAAGAUGCAGUGUACCCGCGGCAAGACGGAAAGACCCCGUGAACCUUUACUAUAGCUUGACACUGAACAUUGAGCCUUGAUGUGUAGGAUAGGUGGGAGGCUUUGAAGUGUGGACGCCAGUCUGCAUGGAGCCGACCUUGAAAUACCACCCUUUAAUGUUUGAUGUUCUAACGUGGACCCGUAAUCCGGGUUGCGGACAGUGUCUGGUGGGUAGUUUGACUGGGGCGGUCUCCUCCUAAAGAGUAACGGAGGAGCACGAAGGUUGGCUAAUCCUGGUCGGACAUCAGGAGGUUAGUGCAAUGGCAUAAGCCAGCUUGACUGCGAGCGUGACGGCGCGAGCAGGUGCGAAAGCAGGUCAUAGUGAUCCGGUGGUUCUGAAUGGAAGGGCCAUCGCUCAACGGAUAAAAGGUACUCCGGGGAUAACAGGCUGAUACCGCCCAAGAGUUCAUAUCGACGGCGGUGUUUGGCACCUCGAUGUCGGCUCAUCACAUCCUGGGGCUGAAGUAGGUCCCAAGGGUAUGGCUGUUCGCCAUUUAAAGUGGUACGCGAGCUGGGUUUAGAACGUCGUGAGACAGUUCGGUCCCUAUCUGCCGUGGGCGCUGGAGAACUGAGGGGGGCUGCUCCUAGUACGAGAGGACCGGAGUGGACGCAUCACUGGUGUUCGGGUUGUCAUGCCAAUGGCACUGCCCGGUAGCUAAAUGCGGAAGAGAUAAGUGCUGAAAGCAUCUAAGCACGAAACUUGCCCCGAGAUGAGUUCUCCCUGAGACUUAGAGUCUCCUGAAGGAACGUUGAAGACGACGACGUUGAUAGGCCGGGUGUGUAAGCGCAGCGAUGCGUUGAGCUAACCGGUACUAAUGAACCGUGAGGCUUAACCUUACA